AUAAUUUUCGAGAUAGUAAUAUCACAUACAUUUAUUGAUUUUCCAACAUUCAAAGUUUGCAAACUUACUAAUGCUAGCUGUCAACACCGUCCUAAGGGCAGCAACACUGGUUUCAGGUUUGGCAAACAAAACGAAGUCUCUACUGUGUGAGUGUUUGAAAUUGCCCGAAGUCUUUUGAAUAAACUAAAUUGUUAUUAUAACGAAACUAUAUAUUCAACUGUUUAAAUUAUUUGUAAAAUCAGUGGUUUAACCCACCCGCCAGUGUUGUGGUAUCGGCGAAUUUGCAUCGGUGAAGGUUACGCGUUUAAAGCUACUGGGUCCGUUUGUGGACAGUUUUCUGGUCUCCGAGAUGGAUUUACAGCUGUACAAAUUCGAAUAUUCCCGCGACCCCGUCCGUUUGGAGGACCAGAUCCAACGCCUGAUGGAUGCUCUCGGCCUCAUCAAGAAGGGGAUCCGGGUGCUUCUGGAGAUGGACCAGAACGAGCCCCGAGUGAGGGCUGUGAAGAGGGGCAUCCUCCGCGUGCUGGCGCCCUACGAGGAACUGCUGCAGCAGAAGAAGCUGGCGUUGAAGCGGGUCCUGUCUCGCGCGGCCAAGCCCAGGCGACGACGCAAUAAUGCUAAGUAAACUACUACCUACUACAUACCAAAACGUCUCACACUCUCAUAAGUCGCCGUCUUUGUCUACAACAUGGCCCCUGCCCCAUUUCUGCUAUUUAAAAUGGCCGAUGAUAAUUCGAUUAAAUUGGCACUAUGAGUGUUAUUCUAGAUAUUUUAACACAAUAAUUGGAAAUUUUGUCUUUCUCAAAAACAUCACAGUCGUACUCACAAAUGAUAUUUUAUUAAAUGAAGUUCUUGUAUAUGUGACUUGGGGCUAGGCUCACAUGACUGAAAACUGUGUCACUGGCUGUUGUUCAACAUGAAAAGGGUAUUUGACUAAAUCUUUAUAAUAUAAAUCUGUUUAGUCCAUCAGACAGAAUUCCCAAAAAUAUUGAAUACGUAUUUUUUAUUUGAAUAUAUCAUUAGAAAGUGUAUUGAAGUGGAGCUAGUAACAUCACUUGCUAGUAAAAACCGUACUAGUAAGUGACGUCACUCGAGAUUUAGAAAUCACUGCAUCCCAUUUAGUUUUUUAAAAAACAAAAAACUGGGAAAACUGUCUAACUGACUAAACAGUUUUUUUGUUGUCAAAUACCCUAUUUAAACGACAGCAGAGAUUAUCAACCAUGUCACCGUCUCAUUGAAGCAAUGUAUUAUGACAUGUAUCACACGAACGAAAUCUUUACGUCAUAAGACCUCUCUCCUUAAAUUUAAAGCAAAUCUUUAUAUUUUUUUUGUUCAGAAAAAAAGGUAAAUAUACGUGUCUAAUAUUUCUAAUUAUCUAACGGAACGGUCAUAAAAAUUUUUACUUUUUAUACCUAGUCAUCAUCCCUAUUGAGCUGUGUUUUAAAUUGAUGACAUUUCUUAAUUAACCCAUGUGCUUAGUCGAUAUAUAUAUAUAUUUAUCUUAAGAUUAUAUUAGUCUUUAAGCUAAUCCCAUGUGUUACAUUAUUACAACUUUAAAUAUAAUUUUACUCCGCCUGUUUAUAUUAUAAGUUAUUUUUUAUCUGAGUCAUUAGUAUUUAAGCUGUGUGUUUUCAUUUUCAGUCUGGUCGAUUGGUUUUAUGUAAUUUUAACAUAUGUAUGUUUGUAUUAGGCCCAAGCAGAGGCAAGUAGGUAGCAGUAGAUAGAUCAAGUCAACAAAAGUUACUGAAUAAUACUCGGGUGAUUCUCCAGAAAAAAAUAACAUAAGUUAACGUCGUCAUUAUCCUCACCAACUGGUCUAAGUAACUGUAGUACUAAAUUGUUUAAUUUUUUUAAGUCAUCUAUUAGUAGUCUGAGUACUUUACGAACUUGGAUAAAAAUAAUAUAGAAUACAUCAAUUUGCAGUAUCAAAAGUGUGGUGAGGAUAAUGACGUUUUUAACUUGUUUUACUUUUUUCUGGAGAAUCACCCACUCCCCAAAUAGUAGUCGAAGCUGGGAUAACUAAGAACUUAACAGUAAGAUAAUUGUCAAAAAGAAAACUAUGUAGUCCGACAGACAGAUUUAAAAAAAAAUCUAGUAUUUUAUUUCGUAAAAAAAUGAAGGGGACGAAGUGGUUUAAAAUCUCAUUUGACGUCACUUGGUUUUCUAAUGAUUUGAUAUAAAAUAUAUACUAUACUUAUUUUAAAUGUUUUGGAAAUUCGUCUGACGGACUUAAAAGAUUUAUGUUACUAUAUUUAGUAUUAUAGUAUAUAUAUAUAUUAGUAAUUUUACCUAAACCUGAUCUUAUUCGCUGAUUUUUUUUGUCCCAACUCAGUAUUAUAAAUAUUGAUCUGUGUAAUUUGCUGUUAAAGUGUAUUUAUUAUUAAUCAAUUUAGCAAUGUAAGAAUUAUCUACCGGUUUAGUGAUUU